rnacentral:rRNA from 1 species
GACGAACGCUGGCGGCGUGCUUAACACAUGCAAGUCGAACGGUAAGGCCCUUCGGGGUACACGAGUGGCGAACGGGUGAGUAACACGCGGGUGAUCUGCCCUGCACUUCGGGAUACGCCUGGGAAACUGGGUCUAAUACCGGAUAGAACCACUGCCUACAUGGGUGGUGGUGGAAAGCUUUUGCGGUGUGGGAUGGGCCCGCGGCCUAUCAGCUUGUUGGUGGGGUGAUGGCCUACCAAGGCGACGACGGGUAGCCGGCCUGAGAGGGUGACCGGCCACACUGGGACUGAGAUACGGCCCAGACUCCUACGGGAGGCAGCAGUGGGGAAUAUUGCACAAUGGGCGCAAGCCUGAUGCAGCGACGCCGCGUGAGGGAUGACGGCCUUCGGGUUGUAAACCUCUUUCAGCACCGACGAGGCGCAAGUGACGGUAGGUGCAGAAGAAGGACCGGCCAACUACGUGCCAGCAGCCGCGGUAAUAC